rfam:Synechococcus phage S-CAM8 strain S-CAM8 06008BI06, complete genome.
GCCCGAAUAGCUCAGCGGUAGAGCAGCACCUUUACACGGUGAAUGUCGGGGGUUCGAUCCCCUCUUUGGGCA